UGCCAGCAGCCGCGGUAACACGGGGGGCGCAAGCGUUAUUCGGAAUUACUGGGCGUAAAGAGCUCGUAGGUGGUUUGUCGCGUUGUUCGUGAAAACUCACAGCUUAACUGUGGGCGUGCGGGCGAUACGGGCAGACUGGAGUACUGCAGGGGAGACUGGAAUUCCUGGUGUAGCGGUGGAAUGCGCAGAUAUCAGGAGGAACACCGGUGGCGAAGGCGGGUCUCUGGGCAGUAACUGACGCUGAGGAGCGAAAGCGUGGGGAGCGAACAGGAUUAGAUA
rnacentral:rRNA from 1 species